rnacentral:rRNA from 1 species
CCCUACGGGUGGCAGCAGUGAGGAAUAUUGGUCAAUGGGCUUACGCCUGAACCAGCCAAGUCGCGUGAGGGAAGACUGCCCUAUGGGUUGUAAACCUCUUUUGUCAGGGAGCAACGCCGGCUACGUGUAGCCGGACUGAGAGUACCUGAAGAAAAAGCAUCGGCUAACUCCGUGCCAGCAGCCGCGGUAAUACGGAGGAUGCGAGCGUUAUCCGGAUUUAUUGGGUUUAAAGGGUGCGUAGGUUGUUUUUUAAGUCAGCGGUGAAAGUUUGUGGCUCAACCAUAAAAUUGCCGUUGAAACUGGGGAUCUUGAGUGGGCGAGAAGUAUGCGGAAUGCGUGGUGUAGCGGUGAAAUGCAUAGAUAUCACGCAGAACUCCGAUUGCGAAGGCAGCAUACCGGCGCCCGACUGACGCUGAGGCACGAAAGCGUGGGGAUCGAACAGGAUUAGAUACCCUAGUAGUC